rnacentral:rRNA from 1 species
UACGUAGGUGGCGAGCGUUGUCCGGAAUUAUUGGGCGUAAAGAGCGCGUAGGCGGUUUGUCAGGUCCGACGUGAAAUCCCGGGGCUCAACCCCGGACGUGCAUCGGAAACCGGCUUGCUAGAGUCUGGGAGAGGGAAGUGGAAUUCCUGGUGUAGCGGUGAAAUGCGCAGAUAUCAGGAGGAACACCGGUAGCGAAGGCUGCUUCCUGGAACAGUACUGACGCUGAGGCGCGAAAGCUAGGGGAGCAAACAGG